GCAGUAGCCGCGGUAAUACGGAGGGAGCUAGCGUUGUUCGGAAUUACUGGGCGUAAAGCGCACGUAGGCGGUUAUUCAAGUCAGAGGUGAAAGCCCGGGGCUCAACCCAGGAACUGCCUUUGAAACUAGAUGACUGGAAUCUUGGAGAGGUCAGUGGAAUUCCGAGUGUAGAGGUGAAAUUCGUAGAUAUUCGGAAGAACACCAGUGGCGAAGGCGACUGACUGGACAAGUAUUGACGCUGAGGUGCGAAAGCGUGGGGAGCAAACAGGAUUAGAUACCCCCGUAGUCCCUGUCUCUUAUU
rnacentral:rRNA from 1 species